rnacentral:rRNA from 1 species
CCUACGGGAGGCAGCAGUCGAGAAUCAUUCACAAUGGGGGAAACUCUGAUGGUGCGACGCCGCGUGGGGGAAUGAAGGUCUUCGGAUUGUAAACCCCUGUCAUGUGGGAGCAAAUUAAAAAGAUAGUACCACAAUAUGAAGAGCCUGCUAACUCUGUGCCAGCAGCCGCGGUAAUACAGAGGUCUCAAGCGUUGUUCGGAAUCACUGGGCGUAAAGCGUGCGUAGGGUGUUUCGUAAGUCGUGUGUGAAAGGCGCGGGCUCAACCCGCGGACGGCACAUGAUACUGCGAGACUAGAGUAAUGGAGGGGGAACCGGAAUUCGCGGUGUAGCAGUGAAAUGCGUAGAUAUCGAGAGGAACACUCGUGGCGAAGGCGGGUUCCUGGACAGUAACUGACGCUGAGGCACGAAGGCCAGGGGAGCGAAAGGGAUUAGAUACCCGGGUAGUC